rnacentral:rRNA from 1 species
GACGAACGCUGGCGGCGUGCCUAAUACAUGCAAGUCGAACGAUGACGCUUUGUGCUUGUGCCCAUUUGAAGAGCAGCGAACGGGUGAGUAACGCGUGGGGCAUCUGCUUUUGAGCGGGGGACAACAUUUGGAAACGAAUGAUAAUACCACAUAAUAACUUUAAACAUAAGUUUUAAGUUUGAAUGAUGCAAUUGCAUCAUGCAAAGAUGAUCCCGCGUUGUAUUAGGUGGUUGGUGAGGUAAAGGCUCACCAAGGGGUUGGUACAUGGCCUACCUGAGAGGGUGGUCCGCCACAAUGGGAAUGGGGAAAGGCCCAAGACCCCUAGGGGAGCAGCCGGAGGGAAUUUUUGGACAUGGACGAAAGUCUGGACGAAGAACGCCGCGGGAGUGGAGAAGGUCUUCGGAUCGUAAAACUCUGUUGGUAGGGAAGAAAGUUCGUGAGAGUAGAACGCUGAUCUAGUGACGGUAACUAAACAGAAAGGAACGGCUAACUACGUG